UUUUUUUUUUUUUUUCUCUUCCAAUCUUCUGUCUGUCUUUUAUUCCAAUUGGAGAAGAGACGAUGGACUGAUGGCAGGGGCCGGAGAUUUUCUUGGCGCAAAUGGAUGGGGAUAGUGCGACGACGAAGCCGAGGAAGCGUUGGCCGGUAUCAGUGGUGGAAGCAGCGGAGGUCGUCGGGGGAUUGAAUGAUUUUGGAGGGGUUUGGAAGUGGAAGAGGGUGUGAUAUUAACGAGGUUUAGGCCUUGUUGGUUUGCAGAGAGAUUGAUGGCGGUGAGGUUGUAAGGACGAAGAAAAAUCUGGUUUAAGAUGUGUUUUUAUUUCCAAAUACAAUGAGAAUGGAUUGGGUUCAGAUGUCUGGUUUUGAUCUAUGGUCUGGGGAUUAGAGUCUGCCAAUGGAUGGUGGCUUGUGGGCUAUGCGAUAGAUGGUGGUGAAGAAAAAGUCUGGGUCGUGUAAAAAUAUUAGGGUAAAAGUUAUAAAUGGUCUCGUGUUUUUGGGUCAUGGUUAUGUUUGUCCCGGUGAUUUAAAAAUGUCUAAUGUUGGUCGUCGUGUUUUAUAUGUAGACUAAUUUUAGUCUAAUUAUAGCAUUCCAUCUAACACCGUUAGUGAAGUUAUCACAUACUGAGUUAAUUUUGUCUUUUACCAUUUUUUCUCAAUGUUCAUAUGGAGGGUUCUGUUGCAAUUGAUCAUCUUCCCCUUCCUACAUGUCUUCCUCUUCAAUUACACAAUUCUCUUCUUCAGUCAAUACAUGUUCCACAUUGCAAGAAGACACUCUAGUAUGUUGAAAUUGACUGGAAAUUUGGUUAAACAAAUCAUCAAGGAUUUGAGAGAGCAGGUCAUCAGGAAUCUCAUCCCAAUUAUAAUUCAAUGUAUCAUUACCUUCAAUUUGAUUAAAGAUCUGUAAGUACCGUGCACACUAAUAAAGCUUCAAUUCAAUGUAUCAUUAUAUUCAAUUUGAUUAAAUAUAAGGAUUUGAUUAAAAAAAGAAGAAAGAUCUGAAAAGAAAAAGUUUUCAAUUUGUAUAUAGUACGAAGACGCUCAUCUAUAAAUUUGUCCCUAGUGCCACUACUUUGUUUGAGCUUUUACAUGGUCAGUUUAAUUCAGCUAUACAUCUGAUCUGAUGCUAAAUUGAUAUUAUAUAUGAUUCAAAAUUCAGGUGUUCUACCUUUGUCGACAAUCAUAACUUAGUGUAUUAGCUAUUACAUCUAAUCACCCAAGAAUACUGAGUAAAUUCGAGAUUGAAAUUCACUGCAUAGACUUUUUAUAGAGAUAUAACUUGAACCUAAACUCAAAACCUACACUAAAGCACCUUACAUAGAAUUUGAACCCUCAAAAUAUAGCUAGUUUGCUAACUCUUUUCCAAGAAAAAUAGCACAAAUAUAGAUCACAAUAUUCACUAGGCCAUAUACAGACGACACUUUUCAGACGACAUAUUUUGGACGAUUUUGAGUUUGUGUCGUUUGAUUAAUUUUUCGACCAUUCAGACGACAUUUGUGAAGUAUAAGUCGUAUGAGUGCCAUGCUCUCUUCAUACUUCUGGAUGUUGCUCAAUUUGUCUAUGAUAUGCAAAAUUUCAGACGACAUAUAUAUGCAGUGUAAAAAAGCAACAUUUAGCAACUUUAUGGUAAUACGUCGGACAACAUAUAAAAGUUGUCUGUGAAAGAAUGCGAAAUCUACUUUUAAUCCCUUUUUUAUGUACUUCAUCCAACAACAUAUUAAUGUCAUCUGAAACAACCAUAAAUCUUUGAUUUAUACCUCCAUUUUGAACCCUUAAAUUCACUUAUUCAGACGACAAACAAAUGACGUCUAACAAACCCAUAAAAUUGAGUGUACGAACCUUGUAAUGUAUAACCUCAGACGACAUAUGAAAGUGGUCUCUCUGACCCUAAAAUACUCAAUUUAUAAUUAAAUAUUGAGUUUGGUUACCUUUUAUUGUAUUUAAUAAGACGACAUAUAAAUGUCGUCUGUAGGAACCUGAUAUAUAAGUUUGAAAAAGGGCUCAACCUAUUAAUCUAUUCAUCAUACGAGGUUAAUAUGUCGUCUGUAUGAACUUGAAAUAUUCAAUUCAUUUGAGUUUGGGAGAGGGCGCCAACCUUAAUGUAUUCAUCGCACAACAUAAAAAUGUCGUCUGGACCUGAAAUAUUUGAAUUUGGGCGCCGAAAUUUUCCCUCGUUUUUCUUCAAUGUGAGACGGCGAUUAAAUGUCGUCUAAUGUUGUAAAUAAGUGGUCAACAUAAAUUGUACAUAUUUUCCAAACGGAAACGCUCUUAUCUCCUCCGACCAAAACUUAUAUUUUUGAUUCGCCGGUACUCAAACUCUUGUUAAGAGUAGGAAAACAGAUCUAUGUAAUAGUUUGGACACUUUGAUAAAACGAUUAUGUACUUCUCCUUGUGGAAGCUAUAAGAAAGUUUAUGUAAAUAUGAAGUUGACUCUAAUGAUCGAGACCUAUAAGUUAUCGAAAAUGGAUAAAUUUUCUUCCACAUACAUAUUUAAGUACUGCAAUUAUAUCCAACGGUCAGAUUAGGUAAAUUUUGUUUCUUGCAUAUAGUUGUCUUAUAAAGAUGUAUGUUUACAAAGCAUUUAGUAAACAUGUUAUGGCACAUUAGUACGCACGUUGUGAUUUAAAUGACGGAAAUAAUUUUUUUUAAGUUUGAGUGUCAGAUGUCAACAUGAUAGUGAAUUAUGGGUGUAGAACAAAUUCAAGCAUUUUCGAUAAAGUUCGGAUCUUGGUCGAUGCGGUCAACGUGAAUGGAAUCUUGCUUAGUAACUUCAGACGACAUAUCUAUGUUGUCUGAAAAAUACUUUUAAAAGUCAACACUUUUAUCUAAACGAAAACCCUCUUAUCUAGACCGACUAAUACUUAAAGUUGAGAUUUGUCAAUUCUUAUACCCUCAUUUAGUGUCAACGAAACUAUUUUAUGUGAACAUUUGGACACGUUUAUCGACCGAUCAUAUCGCUCCCCAUGAGGAAGAAUAGGAACGUUUUAUGUAUAAUUGAAGUUGACUAAUGAUCGAGACCUAUAAGUUAUCGAAAAUGGGUAAAUUUUCUUCCACAUACAUAUUUAAGUACUACGAUCAUAUCCAACGGUCAUAUUAGGUAAAUUUUGUUUCUUGCAUAUAGUUCCUUUAUAAAGAUGUAUGUUUACAAAGAACUUGGUAAACAUGUUAUAACACAUUAGUACGCAUGUUAUGAUUCAAAUGACUAAAAUAAUUUUUUUUCAAGUUUGAGUGUCAGAUGUCAUCAUGAUAGUGAAUUAUGGGUGUAGAACAAAAUUCAUGCAUUUUUGAUAAAGUUCGGGUCUCGGUCGAUGCAGUCAACGUUAAUUGAGUCUUGCUUAAUCACUUCAAAUGACAUAUAUAUGUCGUGUGACCAAUACUUUUCAAAAUCAACACUUUGAUGACCAAAACACUCGUUUUGGUUAAUUUAGAAUAUUGGUAUUAGUUGGUCAACUUAGACAAUAUAUGUAUGUUGUUUGAUGAACACACCCUUUCCAAUUAGCUAGGUUAUAAACCCUUUGCACGGUCAACCAAGGAUUAUCUGAUUUCAUUUUCACCAAGUGUCUGAACACACCCUUUCAUUUUCAGUAAGUGUCUAAAAGCAUCCUCUCUCUUUUUGUUUGAAACCCAUCUCUCUUUAUCUCGACCUCACCAUCUCUCUCGCAGUCACCAUCUCUAUCGACCUCACCAUCUCUCUCGACCUCACCAUCUUUCUCUCUGUCUCUCUCGAACACAACAACAUGUUUUCUCUCUCAAUAAGGUAACUCAGUCUCUUUCUUAUAGAGUUAAUUUUAGGGUUCUAUAGAAUCUGGGUUCCAAUUUUUUAGGUUUUCGAAUUGGGGGUUCUGAAUGUGAUUUUUUUAGGGUUUCGAAUUGGGGGUUCAAUUUGGUGUUUAAUAGUUUGUUGUUCUUGUUCAGUGACAGUUUGGAGUGAAGUAAGCAAGCAGUUGAAGUGGUUAUCAGUUGAAGUGGAGGUAUCCAAAUUGAAGUAAGCCAGUUUGCUCAUUUGUUUAACUUUUUAAUUAGAAUUCCUGUAUUUAUUAUUGUUUUGCUUGUGAUUGUUUAUCUUGUUUGUUCAAGUUGUUAAUAGUUGAAGUGUUUGUUACUGAUUUGAACUGAAAACACUAGACUUAAGCAUGACCUCGACUUGGGUAGCUAUUUCAGUCCUCUGCUCCAGUACCUAAGUGUUGUAGUUAUUUUUCUGUCUUUAUGUGCAUGUUGUGAUUGUGGUUAGUUGUGAUUGUGGUUAUUAUGAUGUUAGUACAAGUGUUUAUCUUGAUCCUCAAUUUAUUUUUAAUGAUUGUGAUUGGUUAUUAAACUAGUUAUUAUUCCAUUUUUAUGUGUUUAUAUAAGAUGGACAAAACUUGGAUGCUCGUUGAUAGGAGAUAUUUGAGGUUUCAAACUGGGUUUAAAAAUUUCCUCAAAUUUGCGUUGGCAAAUGCUGCCGACAAAUCAAGCAUACGCAGCCCUUGUAUGAAGUGCUGUAAUCACAGUGGAUUUACCAUUGCUGUCAUCAAGGGCCAUGUAUAUUUUAAUGGCAUCAUGACCAAUUACAAAAAUUAGGACUGUCAUGGUGAAGCUGCUGCCAUAGAGGGCGAUAGUGGCUGAGAGUCUGAAUCAGUAGAUAAGCCGGAGGAUAUAGAGGGUGAAGAAAAUAAGGGUGAAGAAAAUGAGGAUGAGGAGAUGUCUUGUGACUCAGAUGAGUUCCUUAGGCUGGUAGAAGAUGGAGAUAAAGCUUUGUACCCUGGGUGUACAAAAUCGACAAAAUUGAACGCUCUUGUAGAAAUGUUCAAUUUGAAAGCAAAGCACGGAAUAACUGAUGGUUGUAUUUCCGACUGGCUAAUAUUGUUUGAGUCCUUCCUUCCCGAUGGGAAUGAAGUACCUUGCAAUAUAGGUGAGGCAAAGAAAACACUAGGUUUAUUGGGGAUGGGGUAUGAAAAAAUUCAUGCAUGUCCAAAUGAUUGCAUUCUAUAUAGAGGGGACCAUCAUGAAGCUGAAGUAUGUCCAACAUGUACUACUUCGAGGUAUAAGAUUAGAAAGAACAGAGUUGUGAGGGAUGGGGUUGCUGCAAAGGUUUUGUGGUACUUUCCUAUAAUAUCGAGAUUCAAAAGGAUGUUCCAAUCUCCAAAGACAGCUAAGUCCUUGACUUGGCAUGGCGAUAGGAAAAAAGAUGGCAUGAUGCGGCAUCCAGCUGAUUCACCGACUUGAAAAUUGGUUGACACACAGUGGCCAGAAUUUGGGAAAGAACCUAGGAACCUUCGAUUAGCCCUUUCGUCUGAUGGAUUUAAUCCUUAUGUUGCUUUAAGCAGCAAAUACUCUUAUUGGCCAGUUAUUCUGGUCACAUAUAACUUUCCUCCUUGGUUAUGCAUGAAGAGGAAGUUCAUGAUGUUGUCCUUGUUGAUAUCUGGACCGAAACAGCCCGGGAAAGAUAUCGAUGUCUAUCUACAACCGUGAAUAGACGAUUUGAAGUUACUGUGGCUGGGGGUUGAAGGUGUGUAUGACUCUGUGAGAGAAGAGACCUUUACAUUGAAGGCAGUCCUAUUUUGGAUUAUAAAUGACUUUCCUACGUAUGGGAACCUUUCGGGUAGUGUCACCAAAAUAUAUAAUACUUGUCCUAUCUGUGUUGAUGAAACCAAACCCAUUAGGUUGAAACAUUGUAAGAAAAUGGUGUUUUUGAAGAAUCGUCGAUUCUUGCGUAGAAAUCAUCCAUACCGAAAGCAGGCUGCAGCAUUUGACAACACGAUUGAGAAUGAAGUCGCCCCUGAACCAUUAAGUGGAGAAGAGGUUCUGGCAAGGGUUGAAGGACUGCCUUGUGAGUUUGGAAAAACUCAAAAGCCUGCCAAGCGAGGUGAUCAACCCAGACCUUGCUGGAAAAAAAAAAGCAUGUUCUUUGAACUUGAAUACUGGAAAUAUAUUCCAAUACGCCAUAUUCUUGAUGUGAUGCACAUUGAGAAGAAUUGUUGUGAUGCCAUAAUUGGGACCCUCUUGAAUAUUCCUGGCAAGACAAAGGAUGGAGUUGCUUGCCAUUUGGACAUGGUCGAUAUGGGCAUCAAAACUGACUUGAAAGUGGUAGCUGGGGAGAAAAAGGCCAAGUUGCCUUUGGCUAGUUGGAAUUUGCUGCAUCAUGAGAAAAAAAUAGUCUGCAUAUCCUUUUUUGGAAUGUCAGUUCCUACACGCUUUUCCUCAAAUAUUAGUAAUUUGGUCUCCAUGGAAGAUUUAAAACUGGUCGGUCUUAAGUCACAUGACUGCCACACAGUGAUGCAGUACCUACUCCCUGUUGCAUUAAGAUCAGUUCUAGAGAAGCCUGUUAGGUAUGCCAUUAUUCGGUUCUACCUAUUUUUUAAGGCAAUUUGUAGUAAAGUCAUAGAUGUUUCUAGACUUAAACAAAUGCAAGCAGAUCUGGUUGAUACCGUUUGUUUGCUUGAAAAAUUCUUCCCACCUUCAUUUUUCGACAUUAUGAUUCAUCUAACAGUACAUCUUGUUAGAGAAGUUGAACGGUGUGGCCCUGUGUUUUUCCGAUGGAUGUUCCCAUUCGAGAGGUACAUGAAAGUACUCAAAGGGUAUGUUAAAAAUCGACAUUUUCCUGAGGGCUGCAUGGCUAAGAAGUAUAUUGUUGAAGAAGCUGUAGAGUAUUUAGAAGUGCGUAUCCAUUCUGAAGGUGGUAUCACUGUGGGAAUUCCAUCGACAAGCAAAGCUGGAAACUACAAACAAAGUAGGCCCUUAUCACGACCAACUAUCACAUAUGUGUACAGAAAGCAGAUGCAUCUUGCACACCUUUGUGUCUUACAAAAUACUGAAGACGUCUAGCCCUACAUCAAGUAAGUGUAUACAUCAGCCUUUCUUAUUUUUUUAUAUUUCAAUACCUUUUAACCUUAAAGUUUUUCAGAGCUUAAUGGUUUUCUUUGUUCUUCGGUCUAGGGAGCACAAUAAAUAUUUGGAGUUGAUUUACCCAAAUAAUGUGAAGAACAAGAAGUGGAUGAGGGAAAAACAUAAUGCAACAUUUCCAGACUGGUUAAAAGAAAGGGUAAGUGAAAUUAUAUACUAUGUGAUAGUACAAGUGUUAUUUUACAAAAAUUGAAAACGUAUGUCACAUAGGCUUCCUCCUUUUUUAAUGAACAAUCGUUGUGGCAGGUUGCAAAUCAAUUAAGGCUGAAAUCUGAUAAAGUUUCACAAACAUUAAGGUGGAUGGCUGCUGGUCCUAAAAAUCAAGUGCCAACCUAUGCUGCUUACCAUGUCAAUGUGGAGUUGACUACAACACCAAAGAGAGAGACAGCAUUCGAUCAUUUCAAAACAGCAGUGUAACAUUGCUUGCCAAUGCAAUGCAAGUUGCAAGUGUGCAAUGCAAGUUGCAAGUGCGAGGGAUCAAAAUCCAUCCGACGGUGCUAUGGACAUCUAUGGAGUUAUUAGAAGUAUAUGGGAGGUGGACUACUAUAAGUUUAGGGUUCCUGUGUUCCACUGUGAUUGGGUAGAGAGUACUAGAGCCGUCAAAGUAGACGAACUUGGGUUUACGUUGGUGAAACUGCAUAGGUUAGGGCAUUUAAACGAUCAUUUUGUGUUAGCUACACAUGUGAAACAAAUAUUUUAUAUUGAGGAUCCCCUAGAUGCGGAAUGGUCAGUAGUUGUGAGGUGCCCGGAUAUAGACUACCAUGGGGUUGAUGAUGACGAUGAGGUUGAAGACACAGAUGAACAAUCAUUCAUUCCAGCAAUGUCAUCAGUUGACACAUUUGAUGAUGUAGAUGAGAAUCACCCUACCAGACAUAUGCGUGAUGGCAAUGAAGGAAUAUGGAUAGAUAAUAGUAGCUUACCUGGUCACGUUAAUAGUGAAUUUGAAGGCAAUGAAUGGAAUGCUAGCUAAUAGGACUGUAAUCUUUAUAUAAUUGAAGUUAUUAGAACAACAGUCUGAUGUUUUGUUGGAUGUUUUGUUUGAAAUGUGAUUGAUAUAUUUUCUUUUAACGCAUAACAUUGUUGCCUUAAUUAUGAAGAGUGUGUUUUUCUGUAUUGUCCUAUUUUUCUCGACAUUAUUGUUCUUCUUUUUUAACCUCAGUAUGCUAGCUGACCAGUCUUUUUUAAAUGGGUUUCAGUAAUGGCACCAGCAAGGAAAAGUCUUAACUCUUUAGGUUCAAAGAAGGGACAAAAAAAUGGGCAGUUGUAGAAGUUAUUGCUUCCAGAAUCAAGGCGACGCGACAAAAGCCAGCUAUAGCUUCUGAUAGUAUUCCAGCAGCGUCUACUUCUACACAAAAGAAUGCAGUUGAUAUUGCUAGAAGAAUCGAUGCUGUGCGACAACUGAAGAAGGCUACAGUUUCCAGUACAGCAACCUUGGAUUCUGGGAAGACUUUACGUACUUCUCCUCAAGCGGAUGCCACCCUUGAGAAAAAUGCAACUCCAAGUGAUGAAGCAGUGUCAGCCCCGAAGAAGAUGAAGUAUAGCGGGAAGGCCAAGUCCAGUUCAGUUUCAACCAGUGCAAAGCCGAGAAAGAAGAAAGAACAAAUUCCUCAUGCGGAAACCCCCAAUAUUACUGGAGGUCUGCGAUUACUAUCCAGACCGAUGGUAACUAUGGCAAGAGUAACAAAGCGACUGAUCAGAGGGAUCAAGCUUCCCAUAGAAUCUGAUGACAGGGGGACACCAAUAGGUAAAAAUGCUGCAUAUAUGCAAUCGUACAUUGGGGUCUUAGCACGUACGACGAUCCCCAUCGUCUUUGAUGAUUGGAGGAAUGUGGAUGAUGAACCUAAAGAGAAGAUAUGGGAAGCAAUUCUGGUAAUUUUUUUUUCAUCGACUUAAUGAGUUACAUAGGUCUUGACUAUUAUUUUUCUGGUAAUUUCAAUAAAAAUAGCAUUAGUUAUAGGUUUUGACUAUUAUUUUUCUCUUGUUUUAUGUAGGAGGCUUAUGUGAUCCCUCAACAAUGUAGAAGAUUUGUCCUUAAAUCUGCAGGAACCAAAUGGCGGGAAUUCAAGAGCACACUGACCACUCACUAUGUUAUGCCAUUCAAUUCAAGGACAGUCCUGAGAAGUUGGAAAAUCCUCCUGAUGAUUAUAGAUGCAUCCCCAAGCUGUAUUGGUCGCUUUUUGUGGAAGAUAGGAUUAGUGAAGAAUUUAAGGUUUGUGAACAUGUUUUUAUGUCCACCUUGUUGUUUAAGAUGGCUUACAACCAAUAAGAUGUUAACAUUGUGGUUCCUGAAUUCUAUGCUUCACAGGAACUGCGGGGAGUUUAAAGUGCAAAGAGAAAGCUUAACAAGUACAAUCACAAGAUGUCACGUAAAGGAUAUGCUCAAUCAAGAGUGGAAUUGGUAAGUUUUGGUUGAUAACAAAUAUUUUUUCCUUAAUCAAAAUGUGUUCUACUUCUAACAUGAUUCUGCUUUGUUAUAUUGUUGCAGGCUAAGAAGCUGGGAGUCCCAAUUGAGAUGCUGGACCGUGCCAGAAUGUGGCUGAAUGCACAUUCUGACAAGGAUGGUAACUUCUCAUCACCUGAGGUGGCGAAGACGGCCAAAAAGAUUGUAAGUCCUGUUAGAAUCACUCAGUAAUUUACCAUUGUUUAAGGACUAUGAAAAUUAAUAUUAGUUGUUUUAUGUUGUAUGUUUAAUGUUAAGCUUUUGUUUCAGGAAACCUUAAAAAAACAAUAAUCUGAGGGAUCACUUACCACAGUUGGGUCAACAGAUGUCCUCACCUUAGCAUUGAAGAAACCAGAGCAUCCCGGUAGGGUAAGAGGAGUUGGGGGUUUUGUUCGACCUGAUGUCGUCUUCGACUUGCCAAGAAAGCGAAAAAGAGGUGGUGGUUCUCAGGCAACCAGAAAAAGUAUAAGGCUUAUAUUGGAGGAGAAGCAAGAGGAGUUUAUGGCAGAACAAAAAGCAAAAUGGGAGGAGGAAACUGAAAAAAGGAUACAGAAACUUGAUGAAAAAUGGAAAGCUCAGUUUGAGUCACUGUUGAGAAGGCUGCAGUCUACCGGUGUGCAAAUCCCUACACUUGUCACACCAGUGAACGAACUCAAUUCAGGAAAUGGGAGCUGCAAUCCCAAUUUCGAGAAGGUUCAAAUGGCGCCGGAAAUAAAUGUUGAGCUCAGCUCGAUCAAGAAGAGAUUCGAUUUAGAUGCUGAGAAGUUCGUGGAGGAUGCGAUUGACCCCCAUGAAGUACCUGACCCUAAGCAGAAUGAAGAAACAGCAAUGGACUUGGAUGAGGUUAUAGACUUUGCUCCAAAGGCUGCAAAUUAUAUUACUCUGGUAAUUUAACUCUUUUCUCCUUUAACUCCUCUCUAUGUCCAUCAUUAGGCUUUACUGCCAGCUAUGAAUUAAACGAAUAAGAUUUAAGUAAUUUUUAUUUUUCCAUUGUUUGUGUUAAGAUUUGACUUGUGAUGAAAAUGAGUGUCGACUGGCAGUAGAUAUGGUGGAAAAUAUAGUUGUCAUUGCAAAAGUCAUUGAUGUCGGUGGUGAGUCAAGCAAUCAGCUAUUACAUGGUGUGUCAUUGGGCGAAAACAACGUGCGCGUUUCAGUUAUACGGGCUAUUGAAGGUGAUGCCCUGGUACCGAUUCCAGUGAGGGAUGAGAUUUUAACCGUGGAUGAUGCGGUUGGGAGCUGUGUUGCCUGGCCUAAGGACCUGGUUGUUACACAUGAAGCAAAGACUGUUACUGCAACAACUGAAACAAAGGUACUGCAAUAUAUAUGUCUGAUGUACUUUAUUUAUGUGCAAUUAUAUUUGAGUUUUUUUGACAAUAGUUCAUGUUUUAAUUCCUCACUUAAGUUGCUAACAUGCAUUUUCUUUUAAUUUUGCAAAUCAAGAAACCAAAACGUGGUUAUGGCAGGAAGAAACCAAUUCGAUCAACGCAUUCAGGACAAUGAAGAUCUGGAUAAUUUGCCCCCGAAUAUGCCGAUGGCAUUGAUUGACUUAUGCAAUUGGGCAAACACUUUUCUUAAGGAAGGGAAGACAGUGAACACUGUGUUUCAAGCAGAUCUUUUUGGACAUCCAAAGAAAGCAUAUAUAUGCAGAGCUGAUGUUUACGCCAUAGCCCACAAGAAAGAAGUAUCGAAUGGUGCUCUUUUCUUCUACAUGAGGUAAAUUAUUAUACUUGUUUACUGGUUCUUAAAUUUCAUAAUGGAUUAUGCGGCUGAAUUAUGAAGCAUGUUUCUUUGUUUAUUUUGAAGUAGUUAUAAUCAUUUCAUGUUGCAAUAUGUGUUUGUAGCUACUUGAAUAAAGUGUUAAAGCAGAACAAGAUGGAGGAUAUGAUGCGGUUUGUCGACUCUGAUAAAGUCAGUGCAAUUGGAAGUGGAACUCCCACAGCGAGGUCUCGUGAUCUGUCUGUUAUGUACAAAAAUAGGAAGCAUGGGCAGAUCUAUUUGAUUCCAUAUAACACAGGGUACGUAACAAUGAACUAGAUUUUAUGGGUACAAAUGAUUUAGUGCUUAAGACAAACAUCUGGGAUGAUAUUGUAUGUUAUUGCAUAGUCAACACUGGACCUUGACGAUUGUGAACCCGGAAUUGGAAACCGCACGCUAUAUGUGACACGACCCGCCCCAAAUUUCACCCUGAAACCCAGAGUAAGUCGUGCGGGGACCACCUCCAAGGAAAAUUUAUCGAAAAUUCGGCAUAACCUCCCUUGAAAAUGGACAACCCUUCUUAAAACCUGCAAACACUUCUGAAAAUUUAAAUCCAACCUUAAACUCCUGGAGCCUUCGUGCUCCCCAAAUCUCAACAUCUCCCAAUUAUUUACUAACUUUAAAAGAAUAAUCUCACAACCAACCAUCACAGUUCAGAGCAAUUCUAAUUGAGAGGAAAUGAACUAGGAAUUUAGAAAUAAGCGGAAGCUAAACUAUUGAUUAUGCCUCUUCUCCAUGUACGCCCGACCUCAACUAUGCUAACCUGCAAACUGGGCAUUUUUAAAACGAAGAGCCCAGGGGAAAACAUUUGAAAACCGUUAGAGUGAGUGGACAAAAAUAAAUUAACGAAUAAAAUAUUUAUGUUUCCCCAAAUCAAUUUCCAAGAAAAAUCGAAUGCAUGCUGCAAGCGAUAAAACUUUUAUCUCAUAAAUGUCGAGCCUCUCAGGCUCUAUAAUAUAUGUAUGUAUUUACACACGUCCAUACUUCCUAUAUAAAUUCAUGGGUCUAUAUAGGGCUACUACGCUCGCGUCCAACGCUCACGUCACGCCUUAAUGCGGUGCUACACUACGCCAUUAAGAUGGACAGACGGGUGUAUAAAUAUGUCGCCCAAUACCCCCUAUAUAGAAUUAAACACGUCAUAUAGGGCUACUACGCUCGCGUCCAACGCUCACGUCACACCAUAAUGCGGCUAUAUGCUACGCCAUUAAGGUGGACAUACACAUAUGGCUAGCUAGCAUUUUAUAUACAUACUCUCUCUCAUAAAUACAUAUUUAUAUCCACCGAAAAUCCCAUUUUCAGUAACUCUCCAAGAGAAAUAAAAGCGUCAAAAUUAAUUGACGUCAAAACUCCAACAAAAAGAAAUGUUCAAUCAUGAACCAUAGCAUGCAUAUUAUUUCAAAUAAAAGUCCACUCACAACUCUAGGCAUAAGCCCGACGAAAUCCAAAUCGCCACUCCAGAGAGGUUUCCUCGAACCCUGGUACCAAUAAAAAAUUAAUUUCCCAACUAAAACUCCAAUAUUUAAACAAAAUAUGCAAAAUUAACCGAGAGCCAUAACUACGCUCAUCAUUGCCUAACUUCGAUAUUCUUAAAUCGAAACGAUCCGAACUUAAAUAUCAUACUCAGCAGCCGUAAUUACAACCUCCCCAAAAAUACGACUUAAAUCCUACGACCGGAUUCUACAUUAAUUAACCGCCAAAAAUACCACACUUCGGAAAUUCAUAAACCUAUCCAAAACUCAUCCAAAAAUUCCAUAACUCACUUCAACAAACUCCCCUUAAUAUUCUAAAUUUAAAACCCUAAAAAUCUUCCAAACAGUGGCGGCGCCGGCGGCGGCUCUGCAGGCAGCGGCGGCCGGAAGCUGAUUCCGGCGACCUCCAAUGCUCACCAAAUUUAAACAACAGCUUCCUCUCAACCUACUCUACAACUUUCAUAACUAGCACUAAGUCCAAUUUCAAGCCUAAAUAGGGUAAUCGAAUCAAAACAUCCAAAAUCACCCAAUUCAAACCCUAGCCCGAAAAUCCUCCUACACACUUCGAAUUGGAUCAUUACCUUCUAGGGAAAUGCUACACACGGAGAGCACUUCCAAAUGGAACUGAAAUCAUCAGAAAUGGUGGCCGAAAGGGCGAGUUCCGGCGUCGGGACUCCACCACGCAACCGAAGCUUCCGGGUGAGCUCCCUCCUUCACGGCGGCGCUAGGGCAGCUCUCACCGGUCCAAGAAGAAAGCUGGGUCGACGGCCGACCGUUUGGGACUGGUGCGCCGGUCUAUGGUGGCCGGACGGCGGCGGACGGCCGAGGAGAAUUCCGGCAGCGAGAGAGAGUCGGGGAGAGGAGAGAAGAGAAAGAGAAGGAAAAAGAGAGGAAGGGAAUUGGGCCUCCCAACCGAUCCAACCCAUUAUAACCACACCAACUCCAAAAAUAAAACACCCCGAAAAAAAUACCCCAAUAAAAAUUACCUUUUACUAGCUAAAAUUUACUAUUUUUACCGUCGUCAAAUUUUUCUCCUACGAAUAAUUCUCCGAGCAUAACCGUCCCCGAAACCCCUCUAGGGACCAAUUAAACUAUAACUUCAAUGACGGAGACGGUAAAAUUCUUAUUAUAACCAAGCUAGUAACUAAGGUAAAAAUUUACUGGUCGGGAUGUGACAAUAUGGAUCCACUGAAAAGGCGCUUGGAUAGAAGUGAAUGGCCUGCUAUUGUCACUGAGUAAGUGUGUGCUAGUUUUCCUAUAUGGUCUAGCCUUUUAGUAUUACUCAUUUAUCAGUUCAGCCAUGAAGAUGCUAACUAUUAUUUUUUCUGUUGGAAGCUCCAUAAAAAUGUACAAAGGCCUACUGAAGAAGCAGCCUGGAAAGAAGAAAGCAUCUCCUUGGAAGCCUCUACUUGUAAGCACUUUAAAAUUUGGUAGUGUAUAAUUUUACAGUAUAAUUUGAUUUUUGUUACUGUUUGAUAAGCCUGAUUCAUAAUUUUCAGGGUGCUCCGAUACAAAAAGAUGAUGUGAGUUGUGGAUAUUACAUCAUGCGCUACAUGAAGGAAAUUGUGGAGGACAACAACAUUGACCUUGAUAAAAAGGUACUGCAAUUUUGUAGAUUAAUCAUGACUUGCUUAUAAGUGAUGGACAUUGGUGAUUUAAGUUUUAUGAAUUAGCUAGCUCUUGGAACUAGUAUGUUUAUGUAAAUCCAUAGGAUGGUGAGAUUCAGGAACCAUAUAUAAACUUUAUAUUACUUGUGUCUUCACAUUUAUGUAUUUAUAUGGAUAAACCUGGCAGUGGAAUGGAUGCGAUUAUAUUCCAACUAUACAUCAGCUAUUUGACACUUUUUUUUUAUUGGCUACUUUUUAUAAUGCUGACACUUGUUAUUUAGUUAAUUUAUGUAUUUCUGAUGAUACGUACACUGGAAACUCAUUAUGUAUGCUGCAUUUGCUUUCAGUGGGGAACUAGGGCUGGUCUGACUUACACAGCCGAGGAAAUUGAUGAGAUUCGAGGAGAGUGGGCAGAGCAUGUGCUACAGUUUCCAGACCAGUAAAAUCAGACUUGAUGUUGGUUUAUGGUAGUAUAGCUCAUACAUAGGUGUGCUGUUUUAUUGCAUUAUAACUUUGGAACAUGAUAAAUAGUUAUGACUAAUAUGCCUAUUUUGUGGGUCUGAUGCCAACUAGGUAGCUAAGUUAUUCUAUGUUGAACAAAUUUACUUAUGCGCGCGAACAUAUAUUUUUGUUUAUAUAUGUUGUGUACUUGGAAAUGGCUACAAGGCUUUUGUUUAAUUUAAGUAGUAUGAUCUACAAGUUUAAUGCAGCUUGAUUUCUUUAUGGUUCAUAAUGUGUAAGGUUUGAUUGGCAUAUAUGGUUUAGAAUGCANNNNNNNNNNNNNNNNNNNNUAGAAUGCACAGGUUUUUGUACCGAAUUGAGGCUGUUUUACCAUAUGAACAGUACUUUUUGAGCUAAAACAGACAGGCAACAUUAUGCAACCAAAGACACAAAUGUGUCGUCUCGUACUAAAUCAAACAACAUAUGUAAACUCCCAAAAAACAUGAUAAUGUAAUGCAAUUGAGCAUUAGACGACAUAUUUUACAGAAUCAAACUCUAUUAAAAUGUCGACUUAGGGUAGGAAAAACUUACUUGCUAUCCCUCAACCUACAUAUAUAUGUGGUCCAAAUGUCAUGUAACAACAUAAAACAAAAAAAUUGUCGAUGGAUAUAAGCUACCUCAACACAUAUAUGUGGACUGAGAAGGAGUCACAAGAUUAAACUUUUGUAAUUCUUCAAUCAGACGGCAUAUAUAUGUCAAGUAAAGGACCUCGGCACGACGAAAUCAUAACAAACUAUGAUAAUGCUUCAUUCAAUCGACAGUUAACUGUGGUAAUACCAAGUCGAAAAGUAAAAAUAUGUGGUAUGAAUACAAAUGCAACUACAACUAAAUGUCGUAUGACAGAAGCACCAAAAAAUUUCUAAUAGUUUACAAUGUGAAACGACAGAUAAGUGAGGUUAGAUCUUCUAUAUAACCACAUAUAUCACAAGUUUUUGACGUUGUAAGCUCACACACUCAACACUUAAUUGAAGUGUGAUUUGAUAGAAAAAUCCAAUAAAUCAAAUUAUUCUCCGAUCAAUCCACACUUAUAUGUGGUAGGUAUACAAAACAGACGACAUUUGAUGUGUCUUGUGAUAUGAUAUUACAGUUUUUGGAUGCUUAUUCAGUCCACACUUAACUGUGGUGUGUUUACUGAAAUUUUUCAAUCUUCACUCUUCUCAGACGGCAUAAGAUGUGUCGUGUGAUAGCGUUUCAAACGACGGCUAUUCGCCGUUGUCUGAUAGACCAUCACUCGACAGCUCCUCAGACGACAGACUUGGAUUGUCGUCUGAUGAUGUAUAUGGCAUACUGAUUCUUACCUGGGUCAUGAGGCCGUCUAUCAAGAUUCUCUCCUCCAUGAGUCAUUUGGCCAGGAACAUAACAAUGGCAGUUCUUUUCUUUUUUGUAUUCCUGAGAGCGGUUUGAGACGAUAGAAGAUGAAACGUGCAGUGGUAGACAAGUAAUGGGUGACUAAGGUUUAAAGGUAAAAGACAAAAUUAACCCAGCAUGUGGCAGGCAUGUGAUAACCUCAUUAACGGUGUUAGACGAAAUGUUAUAAUUAGACUAAAAUUGGUCGACAUAUAAAACACGAGAACCAACAUUAGACAUUUUUAAACCACGGGGACAAACAUAGCCAUGACCCUAAACAACGAGGAUCAUUUAUAACUUUUACCCAAAAUAUUAUUUGAUUUUCUUAAGUUUAUUUUAUUUUUAGCAAAGUUAACAGAGUUUAAAUGAGGUUAGAGAUAAGGACAGUUGUAAGUAGGGUAUUGGUGGCACAUAAUUGGCAUAGGUAAAUCGAGAGCAGGCUAGGGUUUUACUUAAAAAGAUAAACGCAACACGAGACCUUCCCUCUCAGGCAUUCUAGCACAAUGGUACGUAGGUGCAUCUAGGGGUGGACUCGGUCCCAACGGUUCGGUUUUUAGGCAUUAACCAAAAACCGAAACCGAAGCUUCGGUUUUCUAUUUCCUAGAACCGAAACCGAUAAAAAUAUGUAAAAAAUCGCUCUUGUUGGUUAACCGAACGUCGGUUCGGUUUCGGUGCGGUUUCGGUUACAAAACCUACUAUCCGUAGUAUUUUUCGCAUUUAACCAAAUACCAUAAAAACUAAAAACAUCAAAGUUGUAAACUAUUAACACUUCAAAUAAGUUACUCUAAUGGGUUCAAACAAGUAAUUGAAAGGAAAAGAAAAGCUAAAGUUUAUACAUAAUUCAUUUGAAGCCUCCAACAUUUAUAUACUGCAAAAAGGAAGACUACAUGAGAGGAAAUUAUGUUAGACAUAAACACUUAAAAACAUAAUCAUGUGUGCGGAACCUUAUUAUUUGUAACUCAUAACCAAUAAGAACAUGACACGUAAUAUAGAAUUAUGUAUUAAUAAUUAAAUGAAUAUAUGUCGGUUCGGUUCGGUUCGGUUUAUUCAGUUUUUAGGAUGCACGGAACCGCAAACAGACACCGCACUACUCGGUUUGUGCGGCUUUGUGGAACCGAUUGCCUCGGUUUCAUUCGGUUUCGGUUACUCAAUGUCAGUUCGGUGCAAUUUUAACCGGUUUCGGUUUUUUCGGUGCCUAAAAGUCCACCCCUAGGUGCAUCAACUGAUAGCAUAUAAGGAUAUAAAGCAUCACGGGUUACCAUGUUGUCGGCUUAAGAGAGAGGAUCUAGCAUGUAUCUUUAUAAGUAUAUAACUCUGAUUUGGAAAGAACUUUGAUCUUGGUAAGAGCAAAUUCACCCGUUGGGUCAAAAUGUCAGGGUCAUUGGGUCACUAGGUCACUGGGUCAAGACACUAUUCAUUGCCACCGGACAUGUGUUUCCACCCGUUUUGUUUCUUGACAGGUCAAUUACUGUUCAUUAAGUAUUAUUUUAUUUAUUUAUUAUCAAUCAUAUUUGUAGUAAAUAGAUGGUUAAGAUGGACAUCAUGAUUAUCCUAUAAAUAAGAUCCUUCAUUAUUUUAGGCGAACAAAACAAGAUACAGAAAAAAAAAAUACCAAAAAUGGAUAAAAGAAGACAUUUAUACUACAAUUUAAAAAUUUAGACACAUAUACGUAGAGGUAAAUUAUAUAUAUAUAUAUAUGUAUUACGUUGAUAAUAUAUAUACAUAGGCUUAAUUGUAUUGAUUAAUACAAAUUAAGGUUAUUGUUAGUUUAAAACUUCCAGAACCAAGGGCUAGCUUGCACGUGUCUGUUGACCCACCAAAGUUGCUGAUGUCAGCCAUUUGCUAGAGCUGGGCCGAGGUGGCAACCGGUCUGUCUGGGUCACACUUUGGGUCAGGAUUCUAACCUUUCUCUUGACCUGGGUAAGUAAAUGUCAAAACUUGGCUGGUCAAGCAACAACCGGUGGAAGCUAUUUUUUGAGAAAUUGUGGUCACCACCUUAGCCAACCUAGGUGGAGGCCGGUUAAGAGAGCACCGGUGAACUUGCUCUAAACGGCUUCGAUUGGAAAAUCUCUACAAUUCAAUGCUUCCAAUAGAUUAUCACAACAGUCUCGAUUCACGUAGGUUUCUGUUUCCCAUUGCUAUAGUUUUCAGUUUAUUGGCUUAUAGAUAUUUUCACGUCCCCCGUGCAAUUCAAAUAAUCUAGCCCUGUUAGGAAUGGUCACACGUUUGUGUUUAAUUAUUCAAUUAUUCCGUAAAAAAGAAUUCCAAUCAAAUAAGGUUUCCUAGACCUCCAAGAAUUGUGAGUUGAGUUUACCUAUAUACAAAUACGACCCGGCCGGCCAGUCCUGAAUCAAAGCUUGACAAACAUGUCCAGUGACAUAUCCGAAGGAGAAACAUGCAGGAAGCGACUUAAGACCUCAAAGCAAGAUAAAAAAAAGGCCGUGAUGAUAAGAUCUUCUAUGCCCGACCUUGUUAUUGAUCGAAUACUCGCAUUACUUCCAACUAAAGCUGCAGUGCACAAGAGCUUUAUUUCCAAGCAAUGGGAAGGUUCAUGGUCCUUGAGCCCCGUAUUAGAUUUUGAUGAGUGUGCAAAGAUUGAUGAAGAUGACAUUGUGAUUGAUAAACUAGUUGAACACAGGAACUUCAUCAACAUUUUGCAAAGGUAUUUGAAGUUUCGGGAGAAAGACAAGACGAUUCAAGUUUUGGAUAGAUUCAGACUUCAUAUGACGAGAUACUUAGUUAAAGAUUCUAGUAUUGUAGAUAAGUGGCUGAGUUUCACACAUGAAAAGAGCGUCAAGGAGGUAGAUCUUAGCCUCGAAUUAGGUUGGCAUAAAUUUCCUGACCACGAAAUUGGUUGGUAUGAACGGGUGGAAAAACUAUAUUGCAUAUCUCCGGUGAGUCUUUUUCAUGCAAAAUCAAUAACUACGUUGAAUCUAGAGUUUGUGAGAAUACAAGACACUUACACUGCAAAGCUUAGACAUGCAAGGGUGCUUCCUUCUUUGAAAAACAUGUCCCUGAAAAGCGUAUGCUUAGACUGGCAGGCUCUUGGUGGCUUAAUUCUGGAGUGCCCUUCCAUUGAAAGUUUGUCAUUAGAUUCAUGUUGUUUUGAAGCAGGGGAGAUUCGCUUUUCAAGUUCUAGUCUCAAAUCUUUAAAAGUUACGCACUGUGAUGCUCGUCGUAUUGAAGUAAAAGAAGUCGUGAACCUUGAAUAUUUUACAUUCUUUUCAGAACUUCGGCUCUCGAGUGUGACCCUCGGAAAAUGCUCUAACUUGAAAUAUAUCAGCAUCCAUGCUCAGUGCUUGAAAAGUCUUGUUUUGCAUGGAUGCCAUGAUAGUUUAGAGGCCACCAUCCAUGCUCCGGGUCUUGUUGAUUGUAGGUUCACUGGGUUUCUGAAUUCCAGGCUGUAUCUGAAAGAUCCAAAUCUACGGACAUGCAUCAUCUGUUUGCAAGACCAUUACAAUAGAAAAUCACAUAAUUUUCAAGCAUUGAGAAAUUUUCUUGAGGCAUUUGAUGGCCCUGACAAUUUAAAUCUCUACAUCAGUGAUUUUAAGGUAUGUUUCUUUACUUGAUAACUUUUGGUUGAGAAAUUAAAACUUAUCAUCGUCACAUAUUAGGCAUGUUUUUUACUGAAUUUUUUUGUUUUUGCUUAUAAUUUUAAUUGUUUACGAUGGUGCAGGUUAUUACUUUUCCACAAAAAUUCAGAGAGACAUACUUGUCACCAUUGCCUAGGCUCAAGCAACUUAUGGUCUACAUGUCAAAUAUUCCAACAAAUGAAAAAGAUUAUUCCGACUUAAAUGACUCCCUGACUUGGAUGAUGUCAUCUAAAAAAUUUCAUUGGACUAAUGCUUAUUAUGUGACACCAUUGUACUAAUGCUUCUUUAGCAUUGUCCUUUUGAGUAUAGCGAACAACAUUGCUUUGUUAUUGAAGUUUCAUAGAAUCAAGUGUGAUCUUUUGUCUUUGUUUUUUAGGGUAUGAUUUGUUGCUCUAAUCUAUUCGUACUCUUAAUCAUAAUACCGCAAGCAAAUUUGGUACAGAAAACCAGAUUUGAUAAAUUGAAUUUGAGAUCUGCCAUAAGAUCCAAUCAGAAAGCCUUUCUGAAAAACAUGAUAACUAUGAUGCACCUUAUUGUAAAUCAAAAAUACCGAAAACACCUUCAAUACAUAAAGGAUUGCAAAAAGAAUGGGACGCGCGAGUAUCUCUCAUUGGUGUUGGGACGAAGAUGAACGUGUGUACCGAAACAUAACUCGUGCACACGUGUGGAUACAACCACACGCUGCCCCUUCUCACGUGACUUGUCACUUCGUAAGUCUCUACCUCCUGUACGUUACACGGAGGAUAUUCUUUGAAGAUUAGACUUAUGGGACCCACGUAUGUCAGGACUCAUUCCGGAUUUUAUUCUGAAAUCGGUAAAAUCCGAAAUGAAUCUGAAAUCUAGAAUGAACCAUGCGGGGAUAAUCUCUAAAAGAGAUGCUACGGAAAUUCGGCAUAACCUCCUUUGAAAAUAGACAACCCUUCCUAAAAAAUCUGCAAACACACUUCUAAAAUCAUACUUCAACCUUGUACUCCUAGAGCCUUCAUGCUCUCUAAGUUUAUCACAUCUCACAAAAGAUCAAAUAUUAAUCCAAAAAAAUCCCACAACCAACAAUAAAGAUAUUCAAUAAUUUACUAACUGGAUUAUCAGAGCAUAUCUAAAACUGAAAGAAAAAUGAUGAAUAAAGAAUAAGCGGAAGCAGCCUCUGACUAUGCUUCGACUCCAUGUACGCUCGACCUCAAAUAAACUUUGCCUGCAAACUGGGCAUUUGAAACCGAAUGGCCCAGGGAAAAGUAAUUUAAAACGUUAGAGUGAGUGGACAAAAAUAAAUUAAAUAAUUUAACAAAAACGUAAUUUAACUACUUUCCCACGUUUAAACUUUAAAAACUUAGUUGCACGCAACUUUGAUCAUCCAAAUAACUUUAAAUCCAGAAACACAUAAGAAUAGACAAAUACUGAAAUCUCGUAAGAAAAGACAAACCAGCCCCGCUGGUUAAUUAAUUACAUAAAUGAGAAAAAUAAAUAAAAACAAGGGGAAGAGAUAUCACCAUGUAAGAGGAGCCUCCUAGGCUCUAGUAGCGUCUCACGUUAAGCGCUCGACUCACCUAUGGUGAGUACCGCUAAUAAAGGCUAGUUAGCAAUGAAUAAAAACCGAUCGAAGAUUCGGAGCCUCCCAGGCUAUAAUAGCGUCCAACGGUAAGCGCUCGACUCACCUAUGGUGAGGACCGCUAAAAAAGGCUAGCUAGUAAUGAAUAAGAGCGACCCUAGUAAGGUGACUAAAAAUAUAUGAAAUCACUUAAAUCCAUAAAACUUCCCUAGUAUCAUGCGAAUGGUACGGUUCCCAACCGUAAUUAGAAAUUAUCAUAAUAAUUUAAAAUAAAACUCAAUGACGCAUCUCACACAUCAAAAUAUUCUCAAAUCUAUAAUUAUAAGCGAUAUUUAAUUAUCAAAUAUAACUUGUAAAUAAUAUCUCAACCCGAAAUACUCGCUAAAACAUUCUCAAUGCCAAGAUCGAUAAUCCACAAAUAAAUGAGAAAAUUAUAAAUAGAGAACUACCGAAAAUCCCAUUUUCGGUAAUCUUUUAUAAAUCUCAAAGUCAACAAAUAAAAACGAUAAUAAUUAUAUCCAGAAGGAUAAUUCCCAUGCCAACUCUAAAAUCAAAGAAAUAAUAAGCCAAACUUUCUUACUUUCUUGAGAACGAUAAUUAUAGAAAAGAUAUUUAUAAAGCGAUAGGCGCAUGCAAUUUAUUCAAAAUAAAAGUCCACUCACAAUAUUAAGCCUAAGUUUUUGUAACACCCUAACAAGAUUGAAUUGGACCAAUUCUUUUUGAGGGAUUACUCACCUUGAUGAGAGCUACAAGAUGAGCCAAGAAUCACGAACUUUGGUGGCAGGAGGAGCAAUUUCCGACGAGUGGACCAUCCGGUGUUUCGGCGGGAUUUCUCAUGUUCGGCGGCGUCACCGACCCAAUCAUCGGCCCAGGAAGGAAGAGGAGGCGACGAGGGUCCGAACGGGACCAGUCCGGCGAUCUCUAGUGGCCGGACAACGGCAGGUGAUGGUGGUGAAGCCGACAGGUUAAGGGAGACUCGGGANNNNNNNNNNNNNNNNNNNNUUGGGUUGCUCCACACCCGGUCCAACUUAAAACCCCAACAAGAAAAUACCCAUUAAAUUUUACCCCCUUUUUUUACCAACUUAACUUUACCCUUUUAAUUGAUAACUUUUUCACGCUAACUCCGAUUUUAUCGCAUGAUUUUAUCGCAUAGCAUGUCUACGAACUCGUAUUAGCGUCCUCUACGACUUUCAUGAAGAAAGUUUUCCCAAAUUAUCGACUUAACGAAAAGUCAACUUUUUGGGUCUUUUAAGGUAAAACGGUUACAAGAAACAAUAGUUGAAAAUUUACUGUAAACUUCAUAAAUUCACAUAACAUAGCUCGUCGCUCCGAAAAAUAAUCUGGGCAUACCGGUGAGCUACUUCGGAGUUUUAAAUCCACUAUUUACCGUUUUCAGAAAAACUCGAGCAAUCACUAUUUAAAUCUCCGAGCGCGAAUAAAAAAAAAAUCUGCCGAAAUUCAUAACCCCAAACAGUAACCUUUUAGGUACGGGUAUUACACUCCUCCCCCCCCCCCCCCCUAAAAGAAAUUUCGUCCUCGAAAUUUCACGAUUGGUUAAACGGUCAAUACCCAUAACAUAUUUUUCCAUUUCCCUACAUGGGAACUCGACUUUUACUAGUCUCAUAAAUCCAUUCUGAAGCUAAUCAUUUUAAGUACCAAGUGUUCCUAUUUAACCAAGACACCACUCUACUCUACUCCGAGUAAUUAUUUCGCUUUCUCAAAACAAAUAGGAGAUAAUAAUAUCUAAUCUCGUUGUCCUUACACAAUAAUAUCCCAUCAACAUGGUCUACGGAUUACUUGAUCUAUAUAUAUUCAUUGCAUAAACACGCUAUAAUCUAUUACAUUAAGUCCAAAUAUGCAUAAAUAUACUUACCUACCCAACCAAGAAGUCAAGUCUUCCUAGACUUAUCGACUCAACAAUGAAUGAGUCAACAUCGUCGUCAAUAUUUUACAAUCUUCGACGACCAAAUAAAAAUAGAAGAAAAUGUAUCUCUUUAUCAAUCAAACAGUCGUAACCAAUAAAAGACUCACAAGCACAAGGAGAUCAAUCCUCGUAAAAGAUCAACGUACACAAAACAACUAUAUUUUCAGCCUUCCAAACCUUAAGUAUGAGGUAACACCAUGGACCUCUGUAAUCGGAUUCACAUAAAUCCACGAUUUAUCGUGUGAGUAGAAGGUAUCUCGUCACCCAACUUGAGUUCGUUAUGCACUCACUAUCCACGAACUCAGUUCUAAUUAUCAUUUACGUGACAUGAAGUCUAUGAAUCAUCGUACACGAUAUAAGCUGCUUUUCCAGCUUCCCAUAUCUUAAAAUAAUGAGGGAAAUACGAUGGCACUCUAUAACCAGGUUUAACUUCAAAACUCAUUGUCUAAAAACAUCAUAGUAAGUAUCUUAUAGUCGUAUACUUACAUAUGACCGCGUCCUUAUAUUAACAUAACAAUUCCUUGAACAUGAAGAAACGAUAACUACCCAUUAGUUUAUCAUAACUAUCGCUCAAAAUGAGCAAUACCAUAAUAUAGCACAAUCAUGUUCUCUAAUUCAGAAUAUAUCGUAUAACCAAAGACUCAGACCAUACGACGCUAUGUCAGCAUGGUAGUCUGUUAAUUCCCACUGAAGAUAUUAUACGGACUAGACCAGCACAAUGGUCAUUGUCCAGAAUCUAUUGCGCCAACAUAAAUUUUUACCAAUCAAGGUCAAUUUCAAAUGUCCAAAUUCCAGUAAUCCACACUAACAGUACUUACCGACUCGAUUCCAGAAUCAAUAUAAGUAGUACGUGGAAUUUACAAACAUCAGUUAGUAACCAAACUUCAAUAUAAUCACCAUCCAAAACUGGUAUGAUCGGUCUCAAAUACCACUGGUAUCUGAGAAAGGUCAUGUGGGACCACCUUUAAGGAAAUUCUUUCGAAAAUUCGGCAUAACCUUCCUUAAAAGUGGACUACCCUUGACCUGUAAAAAUAAUAUACAUAGCCCAGCAUAAAUAAAUCUCUGGAGCAUACUACUCCCUAUAUAUCCACACUAUCCAAUGGACUAUAUAAUCAUCCACCUUAUAUCCAUAAAUGCAGAUUUUUUUUUUUUUUAAAUUCUGCAAAUCGGAUAUGCAUUUGCUCAUACUCACUCAACACAGUGGUUCGUCAAUGCAAAUCAUGAAAACCGAUUAAUAAUAAUCAAAAUAUAAAAAGCACAACUUAUAUCAAUAAGGUUGUAAUAUCCCACAUCGGCCAAACGGAGAGGGGUUAUGUGCUGUAUAUGUACAUGCCCACCUCCAAUUUAACACGAGGCCUUUUGGUGGCUCAGCGGCUUCGGAAGGGAUGGGUACUCUGAGGUUAAGCAUGUUGAUGCUAGAGCAAUCCCAGGAUGGGUGACCUACUGGGAAGCUGCUCCUGAGCUGCCGGAAACAAAACCGUGAGGGCCGGUGGGCCCAAAGCGGACAAUAUCGUGUUACGGCGGAAUGGGUCCUGGGGUGUGACAAAUGGUAUCAGAGCCACUCUGCNNNNNNNNNNNNNNNNNNNNUAAAACCUCGCACACGACGAUACUGUAUCCCUGCCCUUGGCAAUCAUCCCGGCACUCGGUCGUAAAUUUCCACACUUGGUGGUAAUCAUCUCGGAACUCCGCCAUCAGAUCUGGCAUUGGCAGCAAUACCCGACACUUGUGUGGUAAAACCCAGCACUUGGUCGUAACAAGUGUGGUAACCCUACGCCCCCCAGGCAAGACGUGGUCACACCCACACUAAACCCCGCACGUGGCGAUAACCCAGUACGGUAUCCUACGCCCCCAGGGCAAGACGAGGUCAGACCCGUACUGUAAACCCAGCCGAAGCUGUAAACCCAGCCGAAGCUGUAAAUCACCCCACACGACAUGCCAAAAGGGUAUAACCGCCAAUACUAAAGUUGGAAUCGCCUACAUCAAACCACUUUACCAACAUUAGUAACAUGCUUAAAUCGUUGAACAUACUAAUUGAGUUCCUAUAGAACAAUUAUAAUAUAAUCACUUGUAUCAAAUUAUUCCAGAAAUUUCUUUAACACAUACCUGCAUCCUCGAGAGAAUUGCACUGCAUCAUACUUAUAGCAAGCAACUCAAAUCAAAGAAUUAGUGAUUUAUAUCAUAGAACCACAGAUAUGAUGACCCAAACAUAACAUCUCCAAAAAAUAACUUUAAAUCUUAAAUCUAUCAAUGCACUGUGUGAUGCUAUAAUUCUAAAUAUAUAUAAUGGUGCAACAUCCAGAUCUUAUCUCUUCACAGCACUUAACAAACUCAUUUCUCAUAAGAAUUGCAGCAAGCAUAAUAUAUGCAUAAAAAUUUCCCAUACCAAACAGUUCAACUAGCACAUACUUCUCACAUAUACCUAAUGAGGAGAAGUAAAAAUAUUAUACUAUUUGAAUAAAAUAUGGGGUUUAAUUGGUUUCACUCCAUGUACAUCUGCACAAAUGCUCAAGAGUGGCUCAAGCCAAGUGUCCUACAUCACCUCAGACGACUGAUUGUCUCUAGUGAACCUAGAAACAAUGUCGACAAACAUGACUUAAGAAGCUCUUUUUUUUUUUCUUUCUUACAAAACAGUGCAAUGGAGCACUCAUCACAGAAAUGAUAAAAGAAAGAAGAGACCCACAAUAACAAGAGAAAUAUCAAACUAGAAACCAACAGUCCCACUUUACCCAAGAUUAUAAUCCAAGCGCAAUAUCUAAAUUCACAUGGAAGGAGUAUUGCCUUUUCAAUUUCAAUCACAUCAUGCAUUCAGCCAUUUAAGCACUCACAUAUUACUCCCACAAUGAGCGCUUAACCUAUACCCAUAAGGCUGCAUCAUUCCAUCUGUAUCCGCACUAGUGAAAAAGUUCAUAUCAUACCAAUUGUGUUCAAGACUUGCAGACAGUAAAACUACAUCUAUCAUUCAAAUAGUUCAUCAAUCAAACUGAUUUGUAACCAAAGUGAUCAGAUUUUGGUUGUCAUAACCACAACAGUUCAAUAGAAGGGAUAAUAAUUAACCACACCGGAGCAACAAUAAGCACAUAAGUUCACCAAAAAUUCCAACGAAUUCUAUUACCCAACAAUCAGAAAAAUAACAAUAUCAGCAAUUUGACAACUUCAUUUAAUAAAAAAAAAACAAUUAACCAAAGCUAGCAGUUAGCUUUGACAACACAGUUCAAAGGACUUUUAACAGAAAUAAGAAAAUAAAUCCACAUACCCUAAUUUCAAACUAACAAUAUCUGACACCCAACUAUCCUAACAAGCAUCUUGAAUGAUACCGGUGAUCAAAUAAGAGGUUAAUAUAUUCCUCUAUGGCUCCUAGCAAUCGUUAUAUGCUUAAACAAAUAAAUGAACACAACCAACUAAAUUUAAUAUUCAGUGAGCAUAAGCAAAAGCUGUACUCAGCUUUGUGCUGACCAAAGCAGGGUGUACAUAUAAUCCCUUUCGAAUCUAACUUCAUAUUUUCUUGACAAAACUUGAUUGCCAAGCCCUGAUAAAUUUCUAUAUUUGUGGCUCAAACCAAGUUCAAUCACAGAACUAUGGAAUCAGUUAUAAACCUAUAUUGCAAAAUAGCUUUUCAUAUAUCAACUCUAGCACACAAAUUAAGAGGUACAUAUAGAUAUAUGUAGUUAUACCUCUCAUGUAAAACAAACUACAAAGACAAGUAUCCAAACUUUUGUUCACAAAUGCAACAGUGCAGAAUACCAAAAGUACUGAAAUUCAUUAUCUUUGUCUUUUGUAAACCAUAGACAAAAGAUAAUAAGUAUAGAUAGAUAAAUGAUUAAUUGGAACCUAACCUGGCAGUCAAAGUACUAACUUCAGUAGACAAAGACAAGGCUAAAAUUCCACGAUCAUAACCAAUUUCAAUCACAAUUCCCAACAGUUCAAACUCAGAUUGAAUCACACCACAUAAUUAAAAUCUAAAUAUCAGCAACAAACUUAAACCAUAUAGUAAUCCCAAAACACUUUUAAGCACAUCAGAAAUCAAAAUGCAGAAUUAUCAAUUCUUUCAACCAUCAAUCAGGGCUUCACCACAGAUUCCUAACUAAUCUGUGAUCACAAAAUAAAUAUGUACUCUGAUUUGAGGUAUUUAAACCUAUGCUCUGACAUCUAAAUCAACAUUCCUACCACAGCUUAAUUCCCUAGGAAUUAUAUCCCCGCUCUGAUACCACUCUAUAACACCCUAACAAGAUCAAAUUGGACUAAUUCUUUUUGAGGGAUUACUCACCUUGAUGAGAGCUACAAGAUGAGCCAAGAAUCACGAACUUUGGUGGCCGGAGGAGCAAUUUCCGGCUAGUGGACCAUCCGGCGUUUCGGCGGGAUUUCUUACGUCUGGCGGCGUCACCGACCCAAUCACCGGCCCAGGAAGGAAGAGGGGGCGACGAGGGUCCGAACGGGACCAGUCCAGCGAUCUCUGGUGGCUGGACGGCGGCAGGUGAUGGUGGUGAAGCUGGCGGGUCAGGGGAGACUCUGGAGGGAGGAGGGNNNNN
rnacentral:lncRNA from 1 species